rnacentral:rRNA from 1 species
GAGCACGUAGGUGGGUUUGUAAGUCAGAUGUGAAAGCCUUCUGUUCAACGGAAGAAUUGCAUCUGAAACUGCGAGUCUUGAGUGCAGGAGGGGAGAAUGGAACUUCUGGUGGAGCGGUGAAAUGCGUAGAUAUCAGAAGGAACGCCGGCGGCGAAAGCGAUUCUCUGGCCUAUUACUGACACUCAGUGUGCGAAAGCUAGGGGAGCAAACGGGAUUAGAUACCCCGGUAGUCCUAGCCGUAAACGAUGGGCACUAAGUAGAGGGGUUUU